AUUGAACGCUGGCGGCAGGCCUAACACAUGCAAGUCGAGCGGAGCGGCGGACGGGUGCGUAAUGCCUAGGAAUCUGCCUGGUAGUGGGGGAUAACGUCCGGUAACGGGCACUAAUACCGAAUACUAUCAGUUGCGCCUAGGUCGGUUUGGCUAGGGGGUGGGGUAAAGGCCUACCAAGGCGACGAUCCGUAACUGGUCUGAGUGGAUGAUCAGUCAAACUGGAACUGGGACACGGCCCAGACUCUAACGGGAGGCAGCGGGGGGAAAUAUUGCACAAUGGGCGCAAGCCGGAUGCAGCCAGGCCGCGUGUAUGAAGAAGGCCUUCGGGUUGUAAAGUACUUUCAGCGGGGAGGCGUUACCCGCAGAAGAAGCACCGGCUAACUCCGUGCCAGCAGCGCGGUAAUAC
rnacentral:rRNA from 1 species